ensembl:snRNA U6 U6 spliceosomal RNA
GUGCUCACUUCCACAGCACAUAUACUAAAAUUGGAAUGAUAGAAGAUUAGCAUAGCCCCUGUGCAAUAACACUCAAAUUCAUGACAUGUACCAUACUUUU